GGCUUGAAACACCGAAUCUUAGUCCCAAAGAUAUUUCGUUACUUGUUCGCGUACCACAGAGCGCGAUGGAUAGUCGUUUGGAGUCACGAGCGACACAAGUGGGAGUUGGUCGCCUAUUCGACUACAAGUCACAUCAGGUGUGCCCCAAGAUUCUCUCAAUUUAUCUGAAUAUAUAGACAUAUUGUACGAAAAUUGUUUCAAUAUGUUAUUGAAGUAUUGUUAUGGUUAUUAAUAAAUACUUUUAAAUUU